UCAGAAUGGUUGGAAAUCAUUCGCAGAGUGUAAAGGCACAAGGGAGCUUGACUGCGAGACCUACAAGUCGAGCAGGGACGAAAGUCGGGCUUAGUGAUCCGGUGGUUCCGCAUGGAAGGGCCAUCGCUCAACGGAUAAAAGCUACCCCGGGGAUAACAGGCUUAUCUCCCCCAAGAGUCCACAUCGACGGGGAGGUUUGGCACCUCGAUGUCGGCUCAUCACAUCCUGGGGCUGUAGUCGGUCCCAAGGGUUGGGCUGUUCGCCCAUUAAAGCGGUACGCGAGCUGGGUUCAGAACGUCGUGAGACAGUUCGGUCCCUAUCCGUCGCGGGCGCAGGAAAUUUGAGAGGAGCU
rnacentral:rRNA from 1 species